UUCCUGGCAGAUUAAAACUGUGUGCCGGACUGAGACUCGAACUCGGGACCGAAUUCGAGUCUCAGUCCGGCACACAGUUUUAAUCUGCCAGGAAGUUUCAGCUCCAGGUAUGCUCUUCGAUACGGUCGCGCACUGUCAUCUAUAAAAAU